AGUUAGAUGCCAUAACUACUGCACUUGCCAUAAAGGUAAUCUGGCUUUGAUACCAAUUGUUGGUAUUCAAAGUUUACUAACUCAAUACCAAAAAUAUGUGGGCGAUAAGUUUUCGAACUUUAUCACACCUCUGACUAUCACUCUCAAUAAAAUUGGACAAACAAAGGAAAGAAGUAGCAAGCUUGUUGAUAACAACACACUUUGAAAUAUUAGAAGAGUUUAUAACUCUUAAAGGUUAAAAGUUGAAAAUGAGAAUUGGAAUUACAAAGAGCAUUACGGGAAGGCUUUCUUAUACUUGCAAAAACAAAAGAACCACACAAGUGGUUUUUUUUUAAUAAACAAAAAUACACACACAUGCAAUCAAUGAUAGUGUUUGCCAUCUUUACACCCUUUCACACAUGCAGCAACUUUUUGGAUAGUUGGCAGACACAUGCAUUGCAUCAUUCUAGGUUGCAAUCACAACCUUUGGGCUAGUAGCUCACACUUUCUGAAAAGUGUUCCAACAAUUUUUGAAAAGUGUUCCAACAAUUUCUGAAAAAUGUUCCAACAAUUUCUCAAAAGUGUUCCACCACUUUCGGCCACUGUAUUUGAUUUGAACUUCCAACAUCUUCACGUCGCUCAAAACUGGUACAUUUGUUGCUGGGUUCACUAGAGAGCAUGGAAAACAAGCUGUGGCUUCCCGGAUGCUGAUUCGGUGUCCUACGUAUUGAGGAAAUGAAAUCUUUCUAAGAAAGAGAUUAACGAUCUUCAGUUUGAAUUUUUUCUAAGAAAGAGACUGAUAUUAUAUCUCUCUGAUCUUUUGUUUCUAAAGAAACUGUGGAUGUAAAAAAAUCACGUAUAUGUUGAAAGAGAAUAGAACAAAGGUUGUGAUCUCUAACUCAAUGAAUGAGCGAAUCUACUGAUCAUUGAUAUUUAUAACAGUACAAAGCUAAUAGUAAUCCGUGGAGGACAAAACUAAUGUACAAGUGAUAACAUAAUUACAAUUCAAAGUAGAUUAGAAAUUGGACCCCUGAUAGGACUAUAUCCAGUCGUGGAAGAAGACAGUAGUUGUUUAUCAUAUGUGAUAAUCUAAGGCAUUAUGUUUGAAAGUGUUAAAAAAGAUCUAGGAAAGAGUAGACCCCAGAGUCUUAAGUUAUUUUUUUUGGGAAAUUACUAAAAAAUAGUAGCCAAUUAUAUAUGAAAUGUUCUUACCGGUAAGCACACAUUCCAUGAGUGAGCUGAAAAUUUACAAAGGUUAUUACCGGUAAGAACGCUUUUAAACUUUCCGAUCUACUAAUGAACGUGUUCUUACCUGUAAGAACACGUGUAAAUUUUCAGCUCUACUAAUGAACGUGUUCUUACCAGUAAGAACACGUUCAUAUUCUAGCGUCAUGUUUUGUACUAACUUCUAAACAAUUAAUUUUAAGCCUCGGGAUCUACUUUUUUCCUAGAUCUUUUAAAAAUAUAUAUGUAUAUAUUCCAAAAUAAUAAGCAAAGAUCUAGAAAAAUGCAUGUCAUAGCAACCCUCACGAAUUGUCGGCAGAAUACAGGGAAUGACAUGUCUUGACAAACCAUGACUUGUCUUGACACAUUAACCCUUCCAUUGUGGCACACCAUAACAAGACUCGUGAAUUGUCGACAGAAUGCAU
rnacentral:lncRNA from 1 species